UGAGCUGACCUGUGCAGACUGGUCUCUGA
rnacentral:piRNA from 1 species